rnacentral:lncRNA from 1 species
UCAUUCAUUUCUGUUGUAGCUCAGUGGGUUAAGAACCCCCAACAUAGUGUCCAUGAGGACACAGGUUCAAUCCCUGGUCUAGCUCAGUGGGUUAAGGCGUUGCUGUGAGCUGUGGUGUAGGUCGCAGAUGCUACCAGGAUUGGGCAUUGCAUGGCUGUGGUGUAGGCCACAGCUAUAGCUCCAAUUCAACCCUUAGCCUGGGAACUUCCAUAUGCUGCAGGUGAGGCCAUAAAAAGAAAAAAAAAAAUACUGCAUUCAAUACAAAAUUUCUCCCCCCUUGGUGCCCACCAGCUUUGGGCUUGGCUGGCUACCUUCGUCCUACCACCCCCAUUCCUCCUGUACAGUGUGUUUCCAGAAAUGGCUUCUGGCUCUUCCAGGGGGCAUAGGCUCUGAGGGAAAGAAGGGGAGGGGGACAGGGCACAGGAAGUACAGUCGUUAUGGCAGGGACAUUGUAACUUGGUGUUAGCUCCCCCAGGGUGUGGAACUGGCUCUGCCAUGGGUCAGUUUGACAGCUUUUUUGGAAGUCCAGUGGAGAACCUUUGUACUGCUCUUCUGCGUCUGCCCAUUCCACGUGGAGUCCCUCCAACAAGGUCUUUAUGUUCCUCCGAGCCGUCCGUUUGCAAGGAAGCCCUCAGAGCACACAUGCUCGCUCAUGCACGUUGGCUCCUUACUUCAAGCUCCAGGAAAACAGAGCCUCUGCCCAAACUCUGAGACAACAAGAAAAGAUACACAUAAGAUCUGUUAUUUUAAGAAAGACUGAAGACAAUUACUACGAAUACUGAGUAUAAUUAUGUUCUAUCUGAUCCUGCACCCUGAAUGGCAACCUAAAUGAAUGAUGCAAAAGAUGACUCCAGUAUCUGGAUGCUUUGUUUUGGCCAGGUUUUCAAUGACCUUGGACCUUUCCUGCUAAGUUCCCUAAACGUUUCUGUCCAACUUGCUAUGUCCUGACACCUGAUUCUGUCUCCCCUUUGCAACCCACUCACUCGCUUUUCCCUGAUGAUUGAUCUUGAGUUCCCUGACUUAUGCCCUCCACAUACACCAAGCAAUUUAGCUGAGACUCACAGUGUCUAGAAGAAAUAACAGAAUAAUUGCUCUAUGUUCAGGACCCACUUUACUCAGUUACAGUAAAAGGUUAUAGAGGCAGUGUGACCUGUGAGACCCUGUGACCUUCACCCAGUAUCUAAGUCUUAUAUUACAGAUUCAUUUUAUAAAUGUGUCUUAGUCAUUACCUCAUUCUAAGACUAUUCCAAAUUUAGGUAAUACUGAUGUGCAUUUAGCCAGGAAUACACUCAGACCCAAAUUUCAGGAGAACAAGAUCUACCCGUUUUAGCCUCUGGUUUCUUUUUCAUAACUGUAUGUAUAGAUUUAAAAAUACUUCAGUCAUUGGAGUUCCCGUAGUGGCUCAGUGGUUAACGAAUCCAACUAGGAACCAUGAGGUUGUGGGUUCGAUCCCUGGCCUUGCUCAGUGGGUUAAGGAUCUGUCGUUGCCGUGAGCUGUGGUGUAGGUCUCAGACAUGGCUCAGAGACCGAGUUGCUGUGGCUCUGGCAUAGGCUGGUGUCUACAGCUGUGAUUCGACCCCUAGCCUGGGAACCUCCAUAUGCCACGGAGCGGCCCAAGAAAAUGACAAAAACACAAAAAAAACAAAACAAAAAAAAAAAACACAAAAAAAACUUCAGUCAUUGACAUAGUUGUAGAAUUCUUAACUUUUGAUAAACAAUAAAUAAUUUUCAAUAUAUAUGCUAUUUAUCUGA